CUCAGAACGGUAAAGAUGAUAACAGAUGAGCUAGGAGCAAGUGACAGUAGAGCCAUUCAGAUGGCAGGGUUCACAUUGAAAUGCAAGAAGGCAAGGGAAUGGUUCAAAAACUAUGUGGACCCAAGGUUGGAGAGCUUAUCCUGGGAGCAGUUUGCCAAUGAGUUUGCAGGAUGGGCUUUUCCAGAUAGUUCCAGAGAACUGAAGAUGAUUGAGUUUGAGCAGCUAAGGCAGACGGAAGAGAUGAGCGUAGAGGAGUUCACGGACAGGUUCCUGGAGCUGUUGCCGUUUGCAG
rnacentral:lncRNA from 1 species